CCUACGGGUGGCAGCAGUCGAGAAUCAUUCACAAUGGGGGAAACCCUGAUGGUGCGACGCCGCGUGGGGGAAUGAAGGUCUUCGGAUUGUAAACCCCUGUCAUGUGGGAGCAAAUUAAAAAGAUAGUACCACAAGAGGAAGAGACGGCUAACUCUGUACCAGCAGCCGCGGUAAUACAGAGGUCUCAAGCGUUGUUCGGAAUCACUGGUCGUAAGGCGUGCGUAGGCUGUUUCGUAAGUCGUGUGUGAAAGGCGCGGGCUCAACCCGCGGACGGCACAUGAUACUGCGAGACUAGAGUAAUGGAGGGGGAACCGGAAUUCUCGGUGUAGCAGUGAAAUGCGUAGAUAUCGAGAGGAACACUCGUGGCGAAGGCGGGUUCCUGGACAUUAACUGACGCUGAGGCACGAAGGCCAGGGGAGCGAAAGGGAUUAGAUACCCUUGUAGUC
rnacentral:rRNA from 1 species